GAUGAACGCUGGCGGCAUGCCUAAUACAUGCAAGUCGUGCGGCAGCGGGCCCUUCGGGGUGCCGGCGAGCGGCGGACGGCUGAGUAACGCGUGGGAACGCGCCCCAAAGUGAGGGAUAACUCCGGGAAACCGGAGCUAAUACCGCAUCUGGUCUUCGGAUUAAAGCUUCGGCGCUUUGGGAGCGGCCCGCGUCUGAUUAGAUUGUUGGUGAGGUAAUGGCUCACCAAGUCGAUGAUCAGUAGCUGGUCUGAGAGGAUGAUCAGCCAGACUGGAACUGAGACACGGUCCAGACUCCUACGGGAGGCAGCAGUAAGGAAUCUUCCACAAUGGGGGCAACCCUGAUGGAGCAACGCCGCGUGAAGGAUGAAGGCCCUCGGGUCGUAAACUUCUUUUGCUAGCGAAGAAUAUGACGGUAACUAACGAAUAAGGGUCGGCUAACUACGUGCCAGCAGCCGCGGUAA
rnacentral:rRNA from 1 species